rnacentral:rRNA from 1 species
GAUGAACGCUGGCGGCGUGCUUAACACAUGCAAGUCGUACGGUAAGGCCCUUUCGGGGGUACACGAGUGGCGAACGGGUGAGUAACACGUGAGUAACCUGCCCACAACUUUGGGAUAACGCUAGGAAACUGGUGCUAAUACUGGAUAUGUGCUCCUGCUGCAUGGUGGGGGUUGGAAAGCUCCGGCGGUUGUGGAUGGACUCGCGGCCUAUCAGCUUGUUGGUGGGGUAGUGGCCUACCAAGGCGGCGACGGGUAGCCGGCCUGAGAGGGUGACCGGCCACAUUGGGACUGAGAUACGGCCCAGACGCCUACGGGAGGCAGCAGUGGGGAAUAUUGCACAAUGGGCGCAAGCCGGAUGCAGCAACGCCGCGGGCGGGAUGACGGCCUUCGGGUUGGAAACCGCUUUCAGCAGGGACGAAGCUUUUUGUGACGGUACCUGCAGAAGAAGCACCGGCUAACUACGUG